CAGGGAGGCGCUCACUCUCUGCU
rnacentral:miRNA from 1 species